UCAGUAGGCGCCGAAGUUAACGUUACGUCUGAUACAAUUUUGCCACUUUAGGAUUUUUACAACCGUAGGAUAUUUUUGCAUCUUUCUCCCCUUCCCAGAUAUUGCCCAUAGAAACCAUCUUACAUUACAUUAACCCAUUUUACAUUAUCUCUAUGUUACGUUCUAACUGUACCCUUGGUCACAAAAAAAAAAAAGAAGUAGUAAUGCCAAAUUCUUUUUCACGAUCCCCACAAAUUUUGGCAUGUAGAAGUAAACAAAAAAAAAAAGACAAAUUUAAAGACAGCCCUAGUGGCACUUUUCCUCCCUUGGACGUCCAUGGCACGUCUGUACAUCCCAGCCAUAUCUACAUCCAAAUUGAAAAUUUCUGAUGGAGACAAGACAGCCAUAGGAUGUCUAGCAAUGAUAGCCUAAAGAUGUCCUUUUUUUUGUCCUUGUUACCUCCAGGAGACAUCCGUUAGGUCAUCAUUUUUAUUAUAAUUUUUUAAUUAUUAUUUUAUUUUAUUUUAUUUUUUUUAUUUUUUUUAUUUUUAUUUUUUUUCCCUCAUCACCGAACAUCAUUAUCAACGCCCAGCGUGUCACAGCGAGUCUCGUUAACACACAGAGUCUAUGGUCUAGUGGUUAGAGUACUCGACUGGUAAUCUUAAGGACGAUGGUUCAAUCCCAGAGUCAGUCAGAAGUAUUUCAUCAAAAAUAAAAUAAGAUACGUAUGAUGAAAGACUAUGGUGAUGAUGACAUCCUAUGGAUGACCACAGGAUGUACUUUAGAUCAGCCACAGAUAACCUCGAGACUUGGCAUGGAACGGUAAUUAAGAUGUCCAAAACACAUCCAAAGUACAUCAUUUGGGCUCAAACUAAGACCAUGGGUGGAUAUCCACAGGCCAUCGUGUGCCA